GGAGAGUUGGCAGAGCGGUUGAAUGCACCGGUCUUGAAAACCGGCAGGGUCGCAAGGCCCUCGUGAGUUCGAAUCUCACACUCUCCG
rnacentral:tRNA from 1 species